ensembl:snRNA U6 U6 spliceosomal RNA
GUGCUCCCUUUGGCAGCACAUAUGCUAAAAUUGGAACAGUACAGAGAAGAUUAGCAUGGCCCCUGUGCAGGUGUGAUACACAAAUCCACAAAGCAUUCCAUAUUUAA